UACGGACUUUCGCUGGGAACCAGAAAAUACCAGAGCAGAAUGCAUAUAAAGGAGUUCACGUAUGAUGGUGUUGGGACACUCACUGGACGUUAAAAGAUGUGUCCUCUGUAUGGAAGCCCCAAAAGCUGGGGUGCCAGGUGUGUGCACAAGCUCCUUUCCUGAGGUUCCUGCAGCCAUCCAGAGGAAGAGUGUGAAUAGACACCUGCUAGCAUCCAACAUCUCUGGAGAGCACUGCAUUCAUCCCUUAAGGUUGUGUUAAAGGCUGAAACCUGAGAGACAGUCAUCCAAUUUGAGAUAAGCAAUAGGCUGCUUUCAUGGAAAGACUGGGAAUCUCUGUUGCUACUACACUAUGCCCAUGGGUAUGCCUAAUUAAGGCCUGUUUUUUU